rnacentral:misc_RNA from 1 species
AUGGAUCCAUCAGAACUAAGGUAUUUGGAGGAUGAUAAUACUCCCACAAUGAAAACAAUUAAGGGUGCAACUAUGGGUUUAGUUGCUGGAACUAUCUGGGGGACUGUUGUUGCCACUUGGUAUGAUGUGCCUCGUGUUGAGAAACAUGUUGCACUUCCAGGGCUAAUAAGGACCCUCAAGAUGAUGGGUAACUAUGGCAUGACUUU